rnacentral:piRNA from 1 species
UCCAUCACAAGAAGUAUGUUUGAAAUGC